rnacentral:tRNA from 1 species
UAGGAGUUAGUUUAUGGUAGAAUUGUUGAUUGUUAAUCAAAAGGAUUACUCUUAA